UACCUAACUCCGAUACUAGCCCUCUAAAG
rnacentral:piRNA from 1 species